rnacentral:lncRNA from 1 species
UACGUUCUGUCCUUCUGCAGCCAUCUAAAAUCAGCCAGAAAGGUUUAGGAUCCCAUUUCCUGUUCUUGCAUCGGCUGUCCCAGCUGCUGUUCCUCUCUCUGCAGUAAGAGGGUGUUUCUCUCCCUAUUCAAGAGGAAUGCCAACACUUGAGGACAGUAUCAUCCCUAGACCUCAGCAAGAGAGACCACUGAGUGAGGCAUCCAUGGAACCCAAGGAAGAGGCCUAUGAAGAACCUGCAGUCACCUUCUAGACCAUUAUCCCUUACCAAACUGUGUCCCCUCCAGAGCUGAGGACUGGAUGUUCCCAUGUUGACACCUCCAGCGGGAAAGAAAAUUCUAGAUUCAGCUCUGGGUGUCCAAGUCAUUAUGGAGGCAUAUUUGUCAAGGUGGAAGAAAAGGACAUAUUCUAUUUAGCAGUUUGUAAGUUUGAUCGAUAACUUUAAAAUAUUUGGACCUAU